ACUCACUACACCCCUUGCUGCCGCCGUGGACUCGCCGGAAAACUUAGUGAUUCCGGUCGAGUCCACUCACCCGAUUCUCCAUGGUCCCCCCCUCCCUUGUCCUCUCUCUCCAUAUCAGUUAAACGCGUAACUAACCAUUCACUCUCUCGAAUCUUCCAUCCGUUUCUACUUUCCACACCUUUUGGACAGAUAUUGCAAAAAUGUUAGCCAUAGGAUCAAAAUAUUAUGGUCCAAGGUUUCCACUUGUCUAAAAUCAGUCCAUUCAAAGGUAAUUUCAGAUUUUAGAGGUUUUUGGAUUUUUAGAGGAGAAUUUUCGUGUUUCUUGGAGAAGAAGAUUGGACGUUUUGGAGCCACUAUAAAUGCUCUCAUUUUCAAAUUUCAGAGGAGAAUUUUUGGGACGGAAAAUUAGGAGGAAAAACUAGGUUUUGGUUUUGGCUUUUACUUUUCUUCUUCUGAUUUUCAUUUCAGAUUCAUAUAACCACAAAAAAAAAAGAUUUCAAUUUGUUCUAGUUUUAUUUUUAUUUCAAAUUUGAAAAUACACAAGAUAAAUUUAGUCUCUUCCUUUGAUUUUGAUUUCCAAAAUGGAGUGAAGUUGAAACAGGUGUUCGAUUGUUGGAGUUGCUGCUUGAGGUGCGGUCCAUUGGUUUUGUUCGAGUUCGACUGACGUUUUGAAUUUUACUCGUAAUGCGCUAUUCUGUCUGUUGUUGUUGUUGGAAUUUUUCGUCAAUUGAAAGCUAUUUAAGAUGGUGAAGACACGUGCUACUUGGCAGGACGGACAACCACCAGCACCACCAGUUAGGUCUGCGAGAGGCCGAGGUCGUGGCAGAGGCCAUGGUUUGAUCAAUAAGGUGACAAAGUGUCAAAAACCAGCUCAAA